rnacentral:lncRNA from 1 species
CUCAAAAAAAACCAAAAAAACCCCCCCAAAAACAAAAAAAACUGUAAAGAGAGUCCUUGGACUCCCCUGAUCUGUGAUUCUAGAGAACUGUGUUGCUCAAAGCAGGAGAUAGACCCUUCCAUGUGGGGUGUUGUUAUGGUGGCACUUACUUUCUUCCUCUUUGUAUCUUUAUCUUAUCUGAGGUGCAUGCAGAUGACUGGAAUUGAGGAAGGCAGUUUUUAAGGCUCCUGGGUAAGCAUGAAUCCAGUGGUAUUUGCUGAUCAGUGUAUUCAUCUAGUUCCACAUUGAGGAUUUCUUCUCCAUUGAAGGAAGCAACGCUUCAUUAGGCCUAUUUAGCUCCUAUGAUGCCUCUUUCACUUCAUCCCUUUCUCCAGUGUCCAACUUCAGUUUCCUCUCCUCCUUCAGUCUCCUCUCCUCUCCUUCAUGAAGGCUUCCUUGACCACCAAAGCCCAUUGAAAUUUUGUCAUCUCAGUGAUGUUCACUGACUUAGCUUUAUUGAGCACCCGUGUUGUGCCAGGUGCUGGGCGGAGAAUGUGAAUCGACAAAGAUGAGCAACAAGUUCCAACUCUUGAACUAUAUGCAGGAAUAGUCAUAGCCCUUUUUAUCUUUGCAAUUGAAUGCAGUCUGUUAAACAGCUCUAGGGAGGCACCGUUCAUGUGGUUUUCUUUGUGAAUGGUGCCCCCUAGAGUUGGACAACUCAAAGGGCAUGCUGAGGGUGAAACUUGAAGGGCGAUUUGUUAGUCAACUUCAAGGGUUGAUUGAAUGUUAAUCACAUAUUGCCAUGCAUUUUUUUUUGCAAUCUAAUUAUAAACUUUUUGAGGAAGAAGAAGAAGAUGAUGAUAAAGGUAGGGCAGUAGAUCAUGUCUGGCCAUCAUUGUUACAUAAUCCAGAAUGUAGCAUCAGCUAACUUGGGAACAGUUAACUCUUACUCAGAAAAUAAAAAUUCUUCAGGGAAGGCUUUCUUCACUAUAUGUGCCUGCUCCCUGCCCUCCAUUUAGAUGAAGUGCUCCGUUAUAUGCUGUCAAAAGAUACUGUGCUUUUC